rnacentral:rRNA from 1 species
GGUUUGAUCAUGGCUCAGAUUGCCGCUGGCGGGAUGCUUUACACAUGCAAGUCGAACGGCAGCACGGACUUCGGUCUGGUGGCGAGUGGCGAACGGGUGAGUAAUGUAUCGGAACGCCUAGUAGCGGGGGAUAACUACGCGAAAGCGUAGCUAAUACCGCAUACCGCCCUUCGGGGAAAGCGGGGGGACCUUCGGGCCUCGCACUAUUAGAGCGGCCGAUAUCGGAUUAGCUAGUUGGUGGGGUGUUAGUCACCGGGGCGACGAUCCGUAGCUGGUUUGAGAGGACGACCAGCCACACUGGGGACGGAGACAUGGCCCAGACUCCUACGGGAGGCAGCAGUGGGGAAUUUGACAAUGGGGAAACCCCGAUCCAGCCAUCCGCGCAAAAGAGUGAAGGCCUUCGGGUUGUAAAGCACUUUUGGCAGGAAGAAACAGCAUCGGAUAAUACCCCGUGCAACUGACGGUACCUGGCAGAAUAAGCACCGGCUAACUACAGCCAGCAGCCGCGGUAUACGUAGGUGUAAGCGUUAAUCGGAAUUACUGGGCGGCAGCGUGCGCAGGCGGUUCGGAAAGAAAGAUGUGAAAUCCCGGAGCCGGCACUUGGAACUGCAUUUAACUACCGAGCUGAGUGUGUCAGGAGGGAGGUGGAAUUGCAGCAGUGAAUGCGUGAGAUAUGCGGAGGAACACCGAUGGCGAAGGCAGCCUCCUGGGAUAACACCGACGCUCAUGCCAGAAAGGUGGGGGAGCAAACAGGAUUAGAUACCCCGGUGGUCCACGCCCUAAAUCUGAGGUCAACUAGCUGCUGGGGCCUUCGGGCCUUGGUAGCGCAGCUAACGUGCGUGAAGUUGACCGCCUGGGGAGUACGGUCGCAAGAUGAAAACCAAAGGAAUUGACGGGGACCCGCACAAGCGGUGUGGAGAUGUGGAUUAAUCUGAUGCAAACGGUGUCCCUACCUACCCUUGACAUGUCUGGAAUCCCGAAGAGAUUUGAAAGUCAGAGAACCGGAACACAGGUGCUGCAUGGCUGUCGUCAGCUCGUGUCGUGAGAUGUUGGGUUAAGUCCCGCAACGAGCGCAACCCCUUGUCAUUAGUUGCUGCAGGGCACUCUAAUGAGACUGCCGGUGACAAACCGGAGGAAGGUGGGAGAUGACGUCAAGUCCAUGGCCCUUAUGGGUAGGGUCACAUCGUCAUACAAUGGUCGGGAAUAGAGGCCGCCAACCCGCGAGGAGCCAAUCCCAGAAACCGGAUCGUGGUCCGGAUCGCAGUCUGCAACCUGACUGCGUGAAGUCGGAAUCGCUAAAGAAUCAGAUCAGCAUGUCGCGGUGAAGAGGCUGUUCCCGGGUCUUGUACACGUCACACCAGCGAGUGGGUUUACCAGAUAGUUAGCCCAACUGUAAGGAGGGCGAUUACCACCGGUAGAUUCACAUCGGUGAAGUCGUAACAAGGCAGCUCGCAUACCUGAUGCUC